UCAGUCUUAGGGCUUUGCAUAGCACAAAAGAUUUGAGAUCUCUGGAUAAAGCUGAAGGACACUUCUCUAAGGACACAAGCAAUGGCCCUCAGAAACCCAUGAGCCUAGUGUUGAAAAUUAUGUUUUCAAAAUUGACAACAUAUGAGGAGGCAAUCAAAGCAUAUGCAGACAAACAGAUUACCAUCAACUCCACAGAUCUUUCAGUCUAGACUGGAAAAGAGGGAAGAAGAGGAGGAGGAGAGAGAAUGAGACACAGAGAGAUAGACAAGUUAUGGUAAAUUCUGUAAAG